rnacentral:tRNA from 1 species
GGGCGCUUAGCUCAGUUGGUUAGAGCGCCGCCUUUACACGGCGGAUGUCGCAGGUUCGAGUCCUGCAGCGCUCA